UACAGAGGGUGCGAGCGUUGUCCGGAAUCACUGGGCGUAAAGGGUGCGUAGGUGGCGCUGUAAGUGGGGUGUGAAAUCCCGGGGCUUAACCCCGGGACUGCAUUCCAUACUGCGGUGCUUGAGGACUGGAGAGGAGACUGGAAUUUACGGUGUAGCAGUGAAAUGCGUAGAGAUCGUAAGGAAGACCAGUGGCGAAGGCGGGUCUCUGGACAGUUCCUGACACUGAGGCACGAAGGCCAGGGGAGCAAACGGG
rnacentral:rRNA from 1 species